rnacentral:rRNA from 1 species
GACGAACGCUGGCGGCGUGCUUAACACAUGCAAGUCGAACGGUGAAGCCCCAGCUUGCUGGUGUGGAUCAGUGGCGAACGGGUGAGUAACACGUGAGCAACCUGCCCCUGACUCUGGAAUAAGCGCUGGAAACGGCGUCUAAUACUGGAUACGAGAAGGGUCCGCAUGGGCACUUUCUGGAAAGUUUUUCGGUUGGGGAUGGGCUCGCGGCCUAUCAGCUUGUUGGUGAGGUAAUGGCUCACCAAGGCGACGACGGGUAGCCGGCCUGAGAGGGCGACCGGCCAAACUGGGACUGAGACACGGCCCAGACUCCUACGGGAGGCAGCAGUGGGGAAUAUUGCACAAUGGGCGAAAGCCUGAUGCAGCGACGCCGCGUGAGGGAUGACGGCCUUCGGGUUGUAAACCGCUUUCGCCUGUGACGAAGCGUAAGUGACGGUAAUGGGUAAAGAAGCACCGGCUAACUACGUG